rnacentral:rRNA from 1 species
GAUCAUGCUCAGGAUGAACGCUGGCGGCGUGCUUAACACAUGCAAGUCGAGCGAAGCACUUAAGUUCGAUUCUUUCGGAUGAAGACUUUUGUGACUGAGCGGCGGACGGGUGAGUAACGCGUGGGUAACCUGCCUCAUACAGGGGGAUAACAGUUAGAAAUGGCUGCUAAUACCGCAUAAGACCACAGUACUGCAUGGUACGGUGGUAAAAACUCCGGUGGUAUGAGAUGGACCCGCGU